rnacentral:rRNA from 1 species
UACGGAGGGGGCUAGCGUUGUUCGGAAUUACUGGGCGUAAAGCGCACGUAGGCGGCUUUGUAAGUUAGAGGUGAAAGCCCGGGGCUCAACUCCGGAAUUGCCUUUAAGACUGCAUCGCUCGAAUUGUGGAGAGGUAAGUGGAAUUCCGAGUGUAGAGGCGAAAUUCGUAGAUAUUCGGAAGAACACCAGUGGCGAAGGCGACUUACUGGACACAUAUUGACGCUGAGGUGCGAAAGCGUGGGGAGCAAACAGG